rnacentral:rRNA from 1 species
UUCGCGGCCUAUCAGCUUGUUGGUGAGGUAACGGCUCACCAAGGCGACGACGGGUAGCCGGCCUGAGAGGGUGACCGGCCACACUGGGACUGAGACACGGCCCAGACUCCUACGGGAGGCAGCAGUGGGGAAUAUUGCACAAUGGGCGCAAGCCUGAUGCAGCAACGCCGCGUGAGGGACGACGGCCUUCGGGUUGUAAACCUCUUUCAGCAGGGACGAAGCGCAAGUGACGGUACCUGCAGAAGAAGCACCGGCUAACUACGUGCCAGCAGCCGCGGUAAUACGUAGGGUGCAAGCGUUGUCCGGAAUUACUGGGCGUAAAGAGUUCGUAGGCGGUUUGUCGCGUCGUUUGUGAAAACCAGCAGCUCAACUGCUGGCUUGCAGGCGAUACGGGCAGACUUGAGUACUGCAGGGGAGACUGGAAUUCCUGGUGUAGCGGUGAAAUGCGCAGAUAUCAGGAGGAACACCGGUGGCGAAGGCGGGUCUCUGGGCAGUAACUGACGCUGAGGAACGAAAGCGUGGGUAGCGAACAGGAUUAGAUACCCUGGUAGUCCACGCCGUAAACGGUGGGCGCUAGGUGUGGGUUCCUUCCACGGAAUCCGUGCCGUAGCUAACGCAUUAAGCGCCCCG